rnacentral:tRNA from 1 species
GAUUAAAGAGCUUGAAUAAGCAUAUAAUUUUUAAUUAUAAGAUAUCGAUUACAAUGAUUUUAAUCA